rnacentral:tRNA from 1 species
AGGGAUGUAGCUCAGUGGCAGAGCACCUGCCUGGCAAGCACAAGGUCCUGAGUUCUAUCCCUG